rnacentral:rRNA from 1 species
GACGAGCGCUGGCGGCGUGCCUAAAACAUGCAAGUCGAGGGGCAGCGCAGUGUAGCAAUACAUGGGCGGCGGCCGGCAAACGGGUGCGGAACACGUACGCAACCUUCCUUUAAGUGGGGGAUAGCCCAGGGAAACUUGGAUUAAUACCCCGUAAUAUUAUGAAGUGGCAUCACUUUAUACUUAUAGCUCCGGCGCUUAAAGAUGGGCGUGCGACUGAUUAGGUAGUUGGCGGGGUAACGGCCCACCAAGCCUGCGAUCAGUAACUGGUGUGAGAGCACGACCAGUCACACGGGCACUGAGACACGGGCCCGACUCCUACGGGAGGCAGCAGUAAGGAAUAUUGGUCAAUGGACGCAAGUCUGAACCAGCCAUGCCGCGUGGAGGAUGAAGGUCCUCUGGAUUGUAAACUUCUUUUAUUUGGGAAGAAACCCACUGUUUCUACGGUGGUUGACGGUACCAGAUGAAUAAGCACCGGCUAACUCCGUGCCAGCCGCCGCAGUAACAC